rnacentral:rRNA from 1 species
UACGUAGGGCGCAAGCGUUAUCCGGAAUUAUUGGGCGUAAAGAGCUCGUAGGCGGCCUCGUCCGUCCGGCGUGAAAUGCCUGGGCUCAACCUAGGAAUUGCGCUCGAUACAGCGAGGCUAGAGUGUGGGAGAGGUUGGUGGAAUUCCCAGUGUAGAGGUGAAAUUCGUAGAUAUUGGGAAGAAUACCGGUGGCGAAGGCGGCCAACUGGACCACAACUGACGCUGAGGCGCGAAAGCGUGGGGAGCAAACAGG